CAAUAGCGUAUAUUAAAGUUGUUGCAGUUAAAAAGCUCGUAGUUGGAUUUGUGGCGUACGGUGUGUUCCGGGCACUUGUUGUCUGAGUAACCUGCUGUUGCCAUCCUUGGGUGGAACCUGUGUGGCAUUAGGUCGUCGUGCAGGGGAUGCCCAUCAUUUACUGUGAAAAAAUUAGAGUGUUCAAAGCAGGCUUAUGCCGUUGAAUAUAUUAGCAUGGAAUAAUGAGAUAGGACUUUUUUGCUAUUUUGUUGGUUUGCGCAAGAAGGUAAUGAUUAAUAGGGACAGUUGGGGGUAUUCGUAUUCCAUUGUCAGAGGUGAAAUUCUUGGAUUUUUGGAAGACGAACUACUGCGAAAGCAUUUACCAAGGAUGUUUUCAUUAA
rnacentral:rRNA from 1 species